rnacentral:rRNA from 1 species
AUUGAACGCUGGCGGCAUGCUUUACACAUGCAAGUCGAACGGUAACAGGCCGCAAGGUGCUGACGAGUGGCGAACGGGUGCGUAAUGCAUCGGAACGUGCCCAGUCGUGGGGGAUAACUACUCGAAAGAGUAGCUAAUACCGCAUACGAUCUAUGGAUGAAAGCGGGGGACCGUAAGGCCUCGCGCGAUUGGAGCGGCCGAUGUCAGAUUAGGUAGUUGGUGGGGUAAAGGCUCACCAAGCCAACGAUCUGUAGCUGGUCUGAGAGGACAACCAGCCACACUGGGACUGAGACACGGCCCAGACUCCUACGGGAGGCAGCAGUGGGGAAUUUUGGACAAUGGGCGCAAGCCUGAUCCAGCAAUGCCGCGUGCAGGAAGAAGGCCUUCGGGUUGUAAACUGCUUUUGUACGGAAAGAAACGGCUCUGGUUAAUACCCGGGGCUAAUGACGGUACCGUAAGAAUAAGCACCGGCUAACUACGUG